CUAUUUAGGCACACCAAAUUUGAAUGUUAAGAUAAAUAGCAUAAUAUAUUCAAAUAACAUACAUACUAUAGCGAGCUUUGAGCACACACUUAUAGAAGGUUUCUUACCAAACAAGAAUUAAGUAAAGGUGUUUGACUGAAGACUUUGCUGAAUAUGAACAAGAAGCAUGAAUCUGUACACAGCACCACCAUGAAGAGAAUAAAAUGUCAGGCAUAACUCACACAGCUAGUUCAACUUACAUAGUUACAUACCAUAGGCAUCUAUCAGGUCAUGGAAUCGUUUGUCAAGCAUAGUGUAUCCUUCUUUUUCUUGUUUGUUCAAAACAUCAGCGCGGAAAUAUUAGCUCUUGAGCCCUCACUUCAUCUAUCUUCUCACCUAAAAACACCUAAAAAGAUAUCGGACAAUCAGUAUUGCAUAUAUAAUGGUCUGUAGUAUAUUUAGGCAAAGGAAAAAUUAACAAGGCUGUAGAUGAUCUGUAGUAUUUUGGCGAAGAUUUUUUUUUGACAAAAGUGUUAAACUACAAUAUUUGUUUCGCAAGUGGACAGAAGGACAAAUAUUCCUUAAACUAAAAGACAACUACUUAGGACCCCAAUGCUCUAAACAUACUAAAUUAAAAAAAAAUCUAGUGGUUUUUGCCUUGCGACACUGAAAUAGUAUUCAACAUAAACAAAUUGGAACCAUUUUAUAGGGAAUAAAACUGCCGAGAGACUAUAUAAUGUACCGAAAUAUGAUUUGUCGCGUCGUCUCCGACUCCACUUUGAGCGAUCAUUCUCAUCUCCGGCCAUGGUGGGCCAGCCCACGAUGUGGUGCUUUUGGUUGACUAUUUGACGCAAUGAGCUUCGAGUAGAAUUUCCCCUGCCAUGUAUCUAAACUAAUUAAGAUAAAUGAAGAUAUACGUUUUUAAAUAAUGUUUACAACAAUUAUGCUGGUUCAUGUAGGUUUAAGAGUCUACUAUCAUGAAAGAAAAGAAUCACACAGUUUUCCCUGUGAUUCCAAUCAUAUAUAACUUGCACAACAUCAAAAUUUACUUGCAGAAGUUAAAAACUGAUAUAUGAACUCACAUGAUCAAGGAUAUGGAAGGCACAUGUUGAAGUCAUGAAAAAACUAUCUAAAGCAACAUUUCACUAAUUAUCACAUAUGUGACCACACAUCAGAAGGUUAUUACUAAUGCUACAUACAUUUCAUCAAUUAGCACUUCCAAAUAGAUCUCACACAACCACACAGGUAUGUAUUUUUUUGUAAAAGAGGUUAUUUCAGAUUGCGUUCAGUACACAAUAAUAUAUAGCGGACUGGGAAGUAAAUUACUUGAUACAACAAAGAGAAAAAGCUUAUCUCUCUUCCUUUAGUGUGUGACUCAAGAACUUCUCUACUUACAAAUAUAUUUAGCCAUGAUCAUGCUCCUCUAUAC
rnacentral:lncRNA from 1 species